rnacentral:lncRNA from 1 species
GACACAAAAGAGAGAAAUGAGAAAUUUGGAGAUUUUGGGGCAAAAUUCUGAAAUUUGGAACAAAAUUAUGAAAUUUUCAGGGUGAUAUUUGAAGGUUUGGGGGCAAAAAAAUUGAGAUUUUUUAGCCUGAAUUUUGGAUUUUCAGCCCAAAAUUCAAAUUUUGAGCCAAAAUUUGGGGAUUUUCAGCCAAAAUUCAGAAUUUUUUCUUCAAACUUUCAAGUUUUGACCCAAAAUUUGGAUUUUUUUCCCCAGAAUUUGCUUCGCUCUCUGGUCCCCGAGGUCCUGGCGGCGCUGGAGGAGCUGCUGAGCCUGGAUGAGGAGCGCGGGGCCGACGCUUUGGAGGUUCUGGAUGAGUUCCUGGAAGCCAAUCCUGAAUCCCUGAUCCCACAUCUGAAGCCCAUGCUGGAGCUCUGCCUGCAGGUAAAGGCAAAAAUUUCAUUUUUUCAGCCCAAAAUUUGGGAAUUCUGAGCCAAAAAAAUUGGGAUUUUUAACCCCAAAAAAUUUGGGACACCAGGUCUACCCCUAUUGAAGUCAAUGGGGAUUUAUAGACACCAGGUCUACCCCCAUUGAAACCAAUGGGGAAUUUCA